rnacentral:rRNA from 1 species
CCUACGGGAGACAGCAGUGAGGAAUAUUGGUCAAUGGGCGAGAGUCUGAACCAGCCAAGUCGCGUGAAGGAUGACUGAUCUAUGGUUUGUAAACUUCUUUUAUAUGGGAAUAAAGUGAGGCACGUGUUCCUUUUUGUAUGUACCAUAUGAAUAAGCAUCGGCUAACUCCGUGCCAGCAGCCGCGGUAAUACGGAGGAUGCGAGCGUUAUCCGGAUUUAUUGGGUUUAAAGGGAGCGUAGGUGGUUUAUUAAGUCAGUGGUGAAAGUUUGUGGCUCAACCGUAAAAUUGCCGUUGAAACUGGUAGACUUGAGUAUAGUUGAGGUAGGCGGAAUGCGUGGUGUAGCGGUGAAAUGCUUAGAUAUCACGAAGAACUCCGAUUGCGAAGGCAGCUUACUAAACUAUAACUGACACUGAAGCUCGAAAGCGUGGGUAUCAAACAGGAUUAGAUACCCCUGUAGUC